rnacentral:lncRNA from 1 species
UUGAAUUCACCACCAUUAUAGGGUUUCAUUGGAUUACAUGACUUAAUUAUCGAAAAGAAAGAAAAAAAGUAUAAGUAUGCCAUAAUGAGUUUCGCUAGGUAAAAUAUAUUAAAAGGAAACUUCUUGUUUUGUUUCUUCUUCGUACAGUUUCGUCAAAAUAAAAUAAAAACAAUAGUGAAAAAAAAAAUUAAUUCUAUAUUUAUUAGUUUAAAGUUGAAAACCAUAAUGAUAAGUUUUUAGAAAAAUAGUAUUCUAAGCCGAACGGUUAUGGAAGAUGCUAUUGUGGCUGCAUUAUGGAUUAAGAACCAUUAGCAAAAUCAGGUAUAUGAAAAAUCGAGAGAAG